rnacentral:rRNA from 1 species
AUUGAACGCUGGCGGCAGGCCUAACACAUGCAAGUCGAACGAGUGGCGGACGGGUGAGUAAUGUAUGGGAAACUGCCUGAUGGAGGGGGAGAACUACUGGAAAAGGUAGAUAAUACUGCUAAACACCGGAUGUGCCCAGAUGGGUUUAGCGAGUAGGUGGGGAAAAGGCUCACAUAGGCGACGAUCCCUAGCUGGUCUGAGAGGAUGACCAGCCACACUGGAACUGAGACACGGUCCAGACUCCUACGGGAGGCAGCAGUGGGGAAUAUUGCGCAAUGGGCGCAAGCCUGAUGCAGCCAUGCCGCGUGUAUGAAGAAGGCCUUCGGGUUGUAAAGUACUUUCAGCGGGGAGGCGUUACCCGCAGAAGAAGCACCGGCUAACUCCGUGCCAGCAGCCGCGGUAAUAC